CACUUUGAAACAAGGUAGUAGACAUGGGAUUGACCAAUUUAGUGGUCGACUCUCAAGGCAAUGCAAGAGAAGAUGGCUUUAAUCGUCACAAAUGGGUCCACGAAUAAUAAGAUCCCGCAUGUUCUGACCAUGGCUGGCUCAGACUCAGGGGAGCUGGUGCAGGAAUACAAGCCGAUCUUAAAAACUUGUGCUACACGUGGAGCGUUUUGUUCUACUGUGUUCACUGUCGUUACUUCACAAUAUACUUUUGGGGUCCAGGAUAUCAACAUUCUUCCAGAGGGGAAGGGAAUCUGUUGCAGCACGGUUCAAAUCUGUAUUGUCAGAUAUGCAUGUUGAUUUUCUGAAAAGCGACAUGCUUGCUUCAACCGACAUGGUGAAGAUUCUUCAUGAUUAAUCUACUUUUAUAUUUGGUUGGUUUUGCAACUACCGGAGUUCCUCUGCCUUCUGCAGGUAAACUUUUACUCAAAACGGGUAUAUCACAAGAUUACUGUUUGUUUGAUAGUUAUUUUGAUAUGGACACAUUAUUUCGUAUAUACUGCAGAGUUCUGCACCAUUUAGUAUUGAUUCAAUUUUGGUAAGGUAUUGAGUUAAUAAAUAAUUAGUCAUUUUGGUUCGAGCAUCUCCUGAAGAUUUGAAGCCGGUGCGAUCGAACCCAGCCCACCCCUUGGAACAAUUAAAGUAUUGCUCAUAAGAAUCAAUUAACUUACCCCGUAAAAUAGUUGUCUAAUUGCAAGGUAAACAUUUUUAGUUUGUUGCUGACAUGGACUUACAUUUUAAUUGUAUAGAGUUUAGAUAUGGGCCUUUUAGCUGCUAACAAAGGCAAUCUUAGCAUGAACCUGGCUCAUGUUGGUAAGAGUAAUCAGUUAUAACCGGUGUGUGUGUGUGUGCAUAUUUGGUGGAUCGACGUUUGUUCUUGUGGCAGUUACAGUUCAGUCGACUCUCUCGAAACUCUCUCAGGGCAUCAUCAUUGUUGAUCUUCAAGUCAGUUGGUUCGGUGGUAGCAACGUUUGUUUAUCGUAGUGAACCACACAUAUAGCAAGCCUGGCUUACAAAUCCUUUUAGAAGAUCCAAAGUUCAUGGUGUAGAAAAGGAUAUUGUUGAAGAUGGACUUCACUUUUGGAUAAGAUGUAGUGCAACAUCUCCCACAUCUCAUGAUGUUGCUGAUGCCUAAGACCUCCCCUCUAAAAGACAUGUGCCUCUACCAAGUGAGCUAGCCCCACAUUGGCAUGCGGGUGUAGGUAGUUGGUCAAAAAAGUAGGUUCAAUUUGAAAUGGG